CCUACGGGAGGCAGCAGUGAGGAAUAUUGGUCAAUGGGCGCGAGCCUGAACCAGCCAAGUAGCGUGAAUGAUGACUGCCCUACGGGUUGUCAACUUCUUUUAUAAAAGAAUAAAGUUAGGCACGUGUGCCUUUUUGUAUGUACUUUAUGAAUAAGGAUCGGCUAACUCCGUGCCAGCAGCCGCGUUAAUACGGAGGCCGCUAGCGUUAUCCGGAUUUAUUGUGUUUAAAGGGUGCGCAGUCGGAGUCACAAGUCAGCGGUAAAAUCGUGUGUCUCAACCCCGCUCCGCCGUUGAAACUGUGUGCCUUGAGUACAGUUGAGGUAGGCGGAAUUCGUGGUGUAGCGGUGAAAUGCUUAGAUAUCACGAAGAACUCCGAUUGCGAAGGCAGCUUACUAAACUGCCACUGACAUUGAUGCUCGAAAGUGUGGGUAUCAAACAGGAUUAGAUACCCCUGUAGUC
rnacentral:rRNA from 1 species